GCGGCCGCGGGAUUUGGAGCGGCCGGGGAGGCGGGGGUGGCCGGGGCCGGCUUGGAGGCCUGGCGCCACCCUUCGGGGCCUGCAAGGACCCAGUUGGGGGGGCAGGAGGGGGCCGGAGGAUGGUUGGUUGUGGGAUUUCUACUUUGCCUUUUCCUCCUUAUGCCGCCUUAGUGAGGGGCGGGAGCUCUGGCGGCAGCCCCGGGGUGGGGAGACGAGCUCCGGAGUCGGAAGAGCUGGGUUUUCUUCCGGGCCUAGCCACCAGUUGGCGGAGUGACCUUAGGCGAGUCACUCUGUAAUUUGUCUGCGCCUCAGUUUCCUCCUCUGCCUAUCAAUGUGUGUGGGGUUGAAAUCGCUUUGUAAACUAUAAAGCGUGGGUGUACGUAAAGGAUGGUUAUUGUUUAUAAUUUUUUUUGAGUUGUAAGAAAACUUAGCAGUUCCCCAAUCCUUGGGUUUUGAACCUGGGAACCUUGGAUUGGAGUUGGGGAUCCCCAAACUUCCUGAAAUUGUGGGAAUGUGCGGUUUGGGGGAAUGAUGGGAAUUUGUGGGAAUGUGCGUUUUAGGGGAAUGAUGAUCCAUCGCUAGCAAGUUUUCCAAGGGGGCUGUGACCCAGAAGAGUUAAGAAUCACAAUUUCUUCAUGCUACAGAGAGGAAACUGAGGCCUAGAUGUCAUUUGGGACCCUUCACAACCAUUUUGAAGCCCUGUUUGAGUCCCUGGGAUAUGUGAGCUGUUUCUAUGCAUAAUGGAUAUUCGGGGUUAACAACAGUCCCCUGCUUGGCUUCUAUUCUGAAUCCUUUUCUUUCACCAUGGGGUGCCUGAAGGGUGGCUGAUGCAUAUGGUACAAUGGCACCCAGUGUAAAGCAGCUACAAUUAGGAGUGGAUGUGUUCUGUAGCAUCCUAUUUAAAUAAGCCUAUUUUAUCCUUUGGCCCGUCAACUCUGUUAUCUGCUGCUUGUACUGGUGCCUGUACUUUUCUGACUCUCAUUGACCAUAUUCCACGACCAUGGUUGUCAUCCAUUACUUGAUCCUACUUUACAUGUCUAGGCUGUGUGGUUGGUGGUGAAUAGGCUUCUUUUUACAUGGUGCUGCCAGCCCAGCUAAUUAAUGGUGCACGUGGACUUUUAGCAAGCGGGCUCACUGGAAGAGACUGAACCUGGCAUGGAAUUCCUGAAGAUGUUUGGGGUUUUUUUCUUUCUUAAUCGAAAGUUAACAUUGUCUGAAAAGUUUUGUUAGAACUACUGCGGAACCUCAAAAUCAGUAGAUUUGGAAGUGAUUCAAAGCUAAACUUUUUCCUUGGCCCUCCUUGUGUUCUAAUUGCUUGCAAGUGUAAUACUAGGAUGUCCAAGAUGCCAGUUUUUGCUUCUUUGUUAGUUGUCAGCUGCUUUUAUCAAAUUUCAGGCCAUUAUCCAACAAACACUAUAAAAAUGUUUGAACAAUUGGAUUUCAAACAUUUUCGUUUUGUGGAGUGGUGCUCACCAAGUGGUACAGCCCUAAGCAAGUGAACACAAACACAUUUAAGUGUAUUUUGUCUGAUUAGAUGUUAGCCAGUUAUGCUAUUUCAUUCAAAUGUCUGAAAAAAUCAAUUGACUAUUCCCUUUUCCUAAAGGGCAGAGACAGAUAAUCUCACUUCCAGAGAAAUGACUUGGAGAAAAAAAAGUGUUGGUCUUUUUGCUCUUUUGUAAUUAAAUCCGGAUGUACCUCAAAAGACUUAAGACUGUGGUGAUAAGAUGCUUUCCUCAGCAGAAAGGAGGGAAAAAAAACAACUGGAACUCAAAGCUUGAAAUUCUGUGGCAAAACAUGAGAUGUCCAGGAUUGGAGGUUGAAAAGAUUUCACUACAGUGUUCUGCAAUAGUUGGAGCAGAUAACUUUCAGUGUAGCCACAGCCAUGGACUCCAGAUUUCCAGAUUUUCAAGACCUGGACCUGGAACCCGAAAGAGCUUGUCACGAUGCGGCAGGAACACUGGAGGUAGAUUUUUUUUUAUUUUUGAAUUUUGGGACUGUUGACCUUGCUGUGAGAAAAGAGACAACGACUGAGCAAGCACUACCACCAGCACUGUUACUGGGAAUUAGAAGACCUGAGUUUCUGUCCAGACCCUCAGUGCAAACUGAGGAUGCUCCAUCCAAAGUGAAUUAUGGUAUAGCAGACUCCUUGAAAGCAGGGUCCUUGUUUAGUGCAUCUUUGCCCACAUACACCACAACAUAUCAAGAUGCAUUUAUUAGGAAGGAGGAGUUUAGAGAGCAGGCUAUCAGAAUAACCACUCAGUUCCUGUGCCUCCUGAUUGCUGAGUGUUCACCUGGACCUUCUGACUACCUUCCCUGUGCUAUUCCAUCAGCCUACAGACCUGGUACCUGGAUUUUUGCCCGAGAUGAUUCCUACCACCUUACUACUGACGAAGACACCCAUUCCAGUGGACCACUGUGACCCAGGAGGCAUUCAGCCAUCAUGAUGUGGCCUUUACCUCCACUCCUGUCUUGUUCUACCCAGAUUCAGCACAGCCCUUUAUAGUGAAGUCAGAGUCCUCAAGCCAAAUAGCUAAAGCUGUUUUAUCACAACAAAGGCCUAGUUUGUUCCAUGAGUGUGCAUUUCAUUUCUUCAGUUAAAGCCUUCAGAGACACACAAUAAAUUUGGACCAGGGGAUUUUUUAGUUAUUAAUGCUCUCUGAAGAAAGGCAACAUCUUUUUGAGAGCAGCAUUGGACCACACCCCACAAUCUCAAAUGAUUGAAAUUCAUGAACAUCUAGGAUCCCGUGAAGGUCACUGGACCCUGUUUUUUCUACUUCAAAUCCUGUAGUAGCCUACUGAAUGAGAAAACAUAUUCUGACCCAUUGGGAUCAAAUCAAAGGCACAGUGAACUCCUCAUAGCAUCUUCUUUGGAAUUACUCAGGAACCAGAACUUUUUACACAAAUGUAAGAAAUUCUACCAAGGAGUCCCCUUACCUAACAGCAUCUCACAAGGCUGCACCAGAUUCCAGAAAAGGCUUCUCUUGAUACAUCAAGGUAGAACCUCUAUGGUCAUUUUGUGACCGACUUAUUCUUAGAUCAUUGGUUUUCCAAAGGCUUUGUGGCCAUGAAGCCCUUUGAGUGAAAACUGUGCAGAAGCCCAGAGUAAAAGUGAAGCUGCUCUGGAUGAAGUAGUGAAGCAAGAGUAGGGGCCUGAAUCCUGCUACAACUAUCUUCCUUUACCACCGUGGUGACACCUAAGGGGACUUCCUUACAACACCUUGAACUCUUCCGAACACAGUUUGAAAACCACUGCCCCAGACAGCAAUAUGUUUGACCUGAAUGGCAUUCCAAUCUUUUCUGUACCUCCACUCAGCACAGUUCAUGUUCAGUAGAUGCUGAACAUUCUUAGAAAUACUGUGUGUGAACUUAGAAAAGUGCAAGAAGACAGGCAUGUCUUUGACCCCAGGAAUGAUCAUUUGCUGAAGAUGGUGUCAAGUGAACCUAGAUUAACAGCCCUCCACUCCAGAUGGAUAUCCAGUGAUUCCUAGAAUGGGAUAUAGCCAGAGAACAAUUCUAUGCACCCUACACUGACAGACUCCCUUAAGCAACACCAGAUGCUCUACUGGUACUUGAAGUACAUGACUUUGAAGUCUUGACCCUCCAUGAAUACCUGAAUUAUCAGCAAGCGGGUUUUGAAGCUGGUGCCUCAUUGAGGCCAUAUUAGAGCAACUUGUACAUUUGACCUCUUGUUAUCAGCCAUGGUACUCUACUUCGUGUGCAAGAGAUAACUAUGAAAGCCAAAUUCAAAUACUGGCAACAUUUCCUAAAGGGGCUCAAUAUCUAUCAUUCGUCUUCUUUUCCAAACUACACAUCACUGUAUGACUCAACCAGUAGCAGUUAUAUUGCCCCUUGGUUUUUAUUCAGUUUAACUACUGUUUCCAAGAUAAAUGAGCUAAUAAGCUUUAAAAAAAAAAAAAAAAAAGGCUGAAUUCUUUUUUCUUCAUCACUGGCAUAUCUGCCUAUUCUCCAGAAUUAUUAUGACUAUUCAGCUCACUUUAACAGUUGAACUUCAAGCGACAAUCUUUGAACACCCCUUCUCAUGUGAUUUAAAAUGAAACCAUUUGGAAAAGUUUCUUCUAGCCAGUAAUAGAUUUUUUUUUUAAUUGCUCUGCCUUGUGCCGAGAGAUGUUCUUUUAAGAUGAAUCUUUUGAUGUCUGAUACCACCAAAUAUAGGUGGUAGGGAGAGUUGGAGGCUGGCCCUUUGAGCAGGCCAUUAGCUUACUUGCUGGGCAUUUCCGAUAGCUUAUUGCCUACCUUUUUGCUGGAAACAAACUGAUUUGAAAAACAAAAUCUAUGAAGACUGCAGCUAAGGAUUUUAUCGGUAGACUUAAGAGCUUUUGUCCUUGUGGAUAUUUUAGUGGAACCACAUCAGUCUCAAUACUGUCAUUUUACACUGACUCAGAGCAGCUGACUUCAUUCCUUGCCAUGAUAUAUAUUUAAGGCAGGCAUUGUAACAGACAUAAAGACAACUUAUCUGUUUCAGCAGGAAGGAUUCAGUUUAUGAACUCUCAGACCAGAUCAUGUUGAACAAGGAGACUUUGAUGUGUGUCAUGAGAAAACUCAUUCUUUACUUCCCAGUCAAUUUAAAGGCCAGCUAUCCUGAGCUACUCGAAUGAAUGCACUGGUUAAACAUUGGAAAUAGUUUGUUUAUAUCCUUGUCUCUCUCUAGGCCAAUUGUGAUUACAUGACUCGACUCUACAUCUCGUCAAACAAGGCCUAGGUCUGGUUGCUGUAGACUGCUCGCCCUCAACAAAUAAAAUCUGGUUGACUAGCCUCCUUGUAUAUACAACUAUUAUUUGUUAAGAAGAAAUUAUCGUCAAUUUUCUACUACCUUCCAAUUGUCAGCUCUUUUUUUCCUCUCUGGUUUUUCCUAUACUUUACAGAAAAAGACAUUGAUCUAUACUGCCAUUCCCUCUAAUCCUGCCAUACUCAGUCAAAAGGAAUGACUUAAGAUGAAGAUGAUCAUCUGCUCGAGUCUAAAAUAUACAUUGUAUAUAAGAAUUGGUGAUUAGAAAAGCAAAAAACCUAAAACUUAAAUCUAGGAGUCUGUAUACUGUCUCCAUGUCUCCAUGCCUCAGAUCUCAUCUAAAUCUUUGAACAGCACCAUUCAACCAAUCUGAGGCCUUGACUUGCUUGUAAGAUGAUUCUCAGAGAUCGGCUGAGUUAAAAAAGAUGACGACUUGAUUACCAAAGAAAGUAGGGCCAACUUUGACAAAUCUGGCUCUGCUGACCCUGUCACUCCCAGAUGUAGCAUAGACUCCUAAACAGAACCUCAAGUCUGAUUGAGGAUAAGGCCUUCUCCUGAGCUGAAAGUUCUUUGGCAGAUGAGCAAGAAACUGAAAGCUGAUGUACCUGACUGGCUCUGUAAGAUCAGAAAACUGUAUCCAGAAUAAGCCCUAUGGAUUAACCCCUGAGUACCCAGAGUAAAAACUAAUUUACAGAACUUCCUUAUUGAUCUGCUGGUUCUUCCAGAUCAUAUUCUGGCUAUUGGUAUGGCUGGCCUUUCUGAAGGUACCCUGCUUGUCUAUUUUCCUGACUCAGCUCUUGCCUGCCUUUUUCACAUGUUGCUGCAAUUAGACUCACCGUGAGGACUACAGUCAAUUUCAGUCUAUCUUGUGCCCAAUACAACAAGGAUUUUUAAUAGUAACAACCCACACCUCACCCACUAGGACUCAAUGUUCACAACAGGAAGGACCAUUGCUGCAUACUCCUUGACCAGCAACUUUUUUGAAGAUAUUUUUAAGUGCAGAGUAGGCCUCUAUUCCUGUAUGUAAUUGUUCAUUUUCAGCACCUGGAACCUCAUCUAUCGGGUCUGGAAGGAAUACAGCAGUUCGAAAGCCGCGUCCAUUUCUCUCCUUCAGUAGUGCAGAAAUGAGUCCGAUUCACCAGUACACACAGAACUGUACCAGUUCAACCUAGCAAAAGAAGAAAAGUUUCCACUGUACUUAAAAUUUACAGCUGACUCAAAUUGCCUCACAGAAUUAUUUGAUGUAGAAGGCUAGUUGUCUUACUUCAGAUCAGCAGGACAGUUGGGCUCUCAGACUCAUGACCACUGAGUUUGCUUGUGUUGAAACUGUGGUUUCAUCCAACAUAUGCUAUUGGACAUGAUUAUUAUUCCAUUCAAAUGGAUUACAGACUUCUUGAGGACAGGACAAACUUAUCUCUCAUGGUGUUUUUUUAGAAUACUUUUAUAACCAAGGAAGAAACCAUGCCAGCUGUUACCAUUCAACUUCUUAAGCAGAGAUUAAGCUUUUUCAUAUCUGUUCUUAUCCUGGACAUCAGUAGUUUUUAAUUGCCCAGCAUCCGUUCCAUCUUGUAACAACUCCCUGAUGUUUCUUAAAACCACCUCUUCCUAUUUUCAGUCUGUGGUUUGGACAGUCUGACCCAACCUUGAGCUUUGUGGGUGAACAUGUAAUUCAGACCUCAUCAAUCAGCAAAUCCAUCUGAACUGUGGAGGAGAAGCUCUCUUUACUGAGGGUGCUUUAGCUUUGUAGGAUGAAAACCUCAAACUAACAGGGCCUACCAUGUAGAGAAUGAAGCCAGUGCAGGGGAAAGCAGAGCCAAAAUAUGGAGAGACUUGAAUCCUGAUGACAGCGUUUGUGCCCCUGGAUCCAACCGUGCCUGAAGCUAGAAUAUCCCCUGGACUUUUCAGUUAUGUGAACCAAUAAAUACCCUUUUUUGCUUAAGUUACUUUGAGUUGGGUUUCUGUUACUUGAAAUUGAAUCCACACUAAUAUAUCUACCAACAUUGAGACUUGACAGAUCCAAGUAUUUAUUAAGCUAGAGGUCAUGGUCACUGAAAUUACUUUCCAAAGUGGAAGACAAAAUGAAACAGGAACUGAGGGAAUAUUUAAGAUCCCACAGAAGCGUAAAAAUGACAUGGUAGAAAGUAAUAGAAAACCUAAAUGUCUGUCAUUAAAGGAUAGGUUAAGGUGUGGUUCAGCCAUAUAGGAAUAUCUCGUAUCUGUUAAAAUGAAUAAAGUACAUUCAUUGUGUAUGGAAAAAUGGCCAUGAUACAUUAGGUGAAACAAGUUAUUAAUAGAAAAGUGUACAGUGUGAACUCAUUUUAAAAUGUGUGUGCUUAUGUUUAUAAAUGCAUAGAAAGGUCUAUUCACAGCUUUCUUUGAACAGUGUAGAUCACAUGAAACUUUCAA
rnacentral:lncRNA from 1 species